GAUGAAGAACGCAGCGAAAUGCGAUAAGUAGUGUGAAUUGCAGAAUUCAGUGAAUCAUCGAAUCUUUGAACGCACAUUGCGCCCCUCGGUAUUCCGUGGGGCAUGCCUGUUCGAGCGUCAUUUACCCCUCAAGCACUGCUUGGUGUUGGGCGUCUGUCCCGCUUCGCGCGCGGACUCGCCCCAAAGGUAUUGGCAGCGGUCGUGCCAGCUUCUCGCGCAGCACAUUGCGCUUCUCGAGGCGGUCGAUCGGCGUCCACGAAGCUCACCUCCACCGUUUAACCUCGGAUCAGGUAGGGAUACCCGCUGAACUUAAGCAUAUCAAUAAGCGGAGGA
rnacentral:misc_RNA from 1 species